AUCUCUUUAUCUCUUACUUU
rnacentral:snRNA from 1 species